CCCCCCACUUUGCAAUGUGAGCGGAGAUUCUAACUGAGAUUUUCAUCUCUGUCACAUCUGGAACUGCUCGCAAUAUGUGCACUGUUUAGAACUGUGUUUUCCGCAAAUUGCAUUUUGGCAAAUGUUUGAAAAUGAAAAUGUUUUAUUAGCUGCUUCAUUACAGGAGUUGCAUGUUCCGUAAUAGGUUGUAGCCUUUUGACUGUAAAACGAUAGGCUUGCCAUUGUUCCCAUUUAAACUCUUAAUGAAAAAUGUCCGGUCCUUGUAUGCGUGCAUAGUAUCAGAGAGGAAGAGGCGAAGCGAGAGGUUUCACUCUCACCAACAAUAUGUCCAAAAUAAGUCCAAUGCAUUUCUAUGGGCUUAUUUUGGGCCUAAGCUUGUCGCCUGCCUUCCCGCCUUGGGACGACUCCCAUUUGUUAGGGCGGAAACAUAAGCAUCUCGUCAUUAUAUACAGAUCUCUGAUAGUAUUUUCUGUUGGUCACUCCAUUUUACUGUUUGGAAAAUGUUUUACCAUUUGUUGACCGGUUAAUGAGGGUCAGUUAGUCGGCAGCAAAAUUGACCGAAAUGUGCAUCCCUAUCAAGGACAUUUCAUCCAAUGUGCAUCAUCUGAUCUCAUCUGAUCUCAUCUGAUCUCAUCUGAUCUCAUCUGAUCUCAUCUGAUCUCAUCUAUUUUACACCGUGCCUUAUAUAUUGACAUGUACUUCUUAUUAACAAAAGUAAUUAAGAUGACUAAGGGAUUGUCCCCCUAACUUAUUUUGAUCGAGUCAUUAUGAUGACAUCACUGUUAAAGCCCUUUGCCUUUCCUUUGGAGCGUAAAGGAAUGGGCCAGUUGUGAUGAUGACAUCACUGUUAAAGCCCUUUGCCUUUUCUUUGGAGCGUAAAGGAAUGGGCCAGUCGUGAUGAUGACAUCACUGUUAAAGCCCUUUGCCUUUUCUUUGGAGCGUAAAGGAAUGGGCCAGUCGUGAUGAUGACAUCACUGUUAAAGCCCUUUGCCUUUUCUUUGGAGCGUAAAGGAAUGGGCCAGUCGUGAUGAUGACAUCACUGUUAAAGCCCUUUGCCUUUUCUUUGGAGCGUAAAGGAAUGGGCCAGUCGUGAUGAUGACAUCACUGUUAAAGCCCUUUGCCUUUUCUUUGGAGCGUAAAGGAAUGGGCCAGUCGUGAUGAUGACAUCACUGUUAAAGCCCUUUGCCUUUUCUUUGGAGCGUAAAGGAAUGGGCCAGUCGUGAUGAUGACUCUACUCUGAUGACCCAAACUGAACGUUCUAGAUUAGAACAGGAGUUAGGGGAGGGGUAGGCUUGAUGAUUACAUUACUGACUUCUGGGACCGGUUUUCCCAGACAGAUCAAGCCCUGAACUAAAAAGCUCUUUCAAUGUAGAAUCUCCACUGAGAAUGAUCUAGUCCAGGACUAGGCUUAAUCUGUCCGGGAAACCAGUCCUACUGUUUCUACUAUUGCUAUGUUUUGAAUGUUUUUAUUUCCUGUCUAAACUAUUUAAGAGAAACAUUCAGUAUUUUAAGCUAGAAUCUGUACAGUGUGACAGGGCCAUAGAUACAGAAGGGUAGUGCUCAUUAGUGGGAAGUUGGGAUCUUCCUCCUUUUUUUUUUUUUAUCAAUUAUUUACAGUAAACCAUGAGAAAAUUCCUAAAUAUAAUGUAAUAAUCUAAAUGAUAUAAUGAACAACAGAUGUGUCAAUACCACUUUCAGAAGCAUGUCAAUUGAUGCAGGGUAAGAAUUCAUGAUUUUUUAAAAAAAAAUUAAGUUAUCUGUUGUGAUUAUGUAGGCAUAAACAAUCAACCAUGCACCAACACACACAGGCUGGACACAUGAACACAGGACAGUUUUUUUAGUGUGUUUUUGUGUUCUGAUGGAAUGAAGUUACGCCAGUCAGCAGACGCUCUCCACUCAAACACAGGGUCAUGUUCAGCAGGGCACACCGACGCAAAAACGUUCUCAAACAGACAACAGAAACAAACAAGCGUUUCUCAUUGGGACUUUUCGUUUCAGAGUAUUUUUUAAAAUGUUUGGUGCCAAGUGAACGGACCCAGCAAGUCUGCUGUCUGGACAGAAGGUGCCAAGGGCCCAGCAAGUCUGCUGUCUGGACAGAAGGUGCCAAGGGCAUCGUUAAAAGGGGGGGGGAAACAGCUAUGGAUGACUAAUGACUAUGAGGGACUCUAUGCAAUGCAUGUGCCAACCAAUGCAGUAUUCAUUCUGAACCAAUUGUACUGUUUCUUUGUACCUCUUUGUAUAGGUCAACUUGUUUUUGCUAAUAUUUAUAAGAGUAGUAUUACAAUACUUUGCUAUUACUAGUACACGGACACUUGAUUCUGUCUUAAUAACAAUCAGCAUGGCUCUGAAAAGGGAAUGAUGUACAAUGAGAUCCAACGGGAAUACAUUUCACACGUCACCACGUAUUACUGCACCUGAAUACUAUAUAAUAAAGACUACAUGAAUGAACACAUGAGAGAAAUACUGAAAAUAGAAAUGUGUCUGUUAUUAGCCAAGAUCAUUUUCUUAUCUCACACACAUUGGUCAAUACUGCAGACUGCAGUACGUAUCUCUAACAGCUGUGGUGUUGUUAUCUCCAACGCUAGACUGCUUCUUACUGUGGGUUCACCUUCUCUGACUGGAGGAAAUUGUUCACCAUCCGACUGUAGGGAAUCAAAGAAAGUGCCAGUGAAUGAUAUGCAUGAUUCACUUGCAUACAGUAUAUGCUUUAACUGCAGAUGAAAUUAAGUAAAUGAUGGUCUGGAUUUUUAAAUAAAUAUAAAUGCUUACAAUGUUUACUAAUCUUGGAAUUUCUAAGUGUCUUAAUUACUUUAAAUAAAAUGCUAAUUCAGUUGGA